GUCGUAACAAGGUUUCCGUAGGUGAACCUGCGGAAGGAUCAUUCGCACAAAUGUUCUUUCACACCCGCCACACAUCAUAUUGAUACCCCCUGUUUUCAAUAAGGACGUCUUGUCCAUCUCGUCGAUGUUGCAACUUCAUUGCAGCGUUUGCGAUGUAAUCUAUCUCUUGCAACGACGAAUGCCUUGGCUCGAGGAUCGUUGAAGGACGCAGCGAACUGUGUUACACAUCUCGAAUUGCAGAUUUCCGAGAAAGAUAAGGAUUCUGAACGCAUUCUGCAAGUUGGGCUUGCCCGACUCACGUGGUUGGCGGUGAUCGCAAUAUACAGUCGUUCAAACUCUGAAGUUUGAAUGGUCAUCUUGUGUUGUCGCUUGUAAAGCGCCGACGCAAUCGAAGUAGAAGCGUGCCUGACAACUUCGAGCACCGAUUGUGACUUUCAGUCCGCGUGUGUUUGAUUUGUUCGGCGAGCAAAAGUUUGAGUAAUCAAAUUUUUUUUUCGCACGCUCACGACCAAUCACGGGAUUACCCGCUGAAUUUAAGCAUAUAAAUAAGUGGAGGAGUAAAAACUAACCAGGAUUCCCCCAGUAAUGGCGAAUGAACAGGGAAGAGCUCAAAUACAUAACCGCAUUGCGGAAUGUAACCUCGUGUGCUCUCACCAGUAGCUUCCUCGUCGUUUGUUGUUUGGAAAAACACAUAACCACGGGUGAAAAUCCCAUCUGUCGGCCUACGGAAGCUGCGUACGGUGUGAGUUCCCCGAGUCGCGCACCCUGGGACGGGUGCGUAAAUUCGGUGGUAAGUUUCAUCGAAAGCUCAAUAUCUCCUCGAGUCCGAUAGCGAACAAGUACCAUGAGGGAAAGGUGAAAAGUACUUUGAAAAGAGAGUUAAACGUGCCUGAAAUCGUUGUGAAUCAAGCAAUUGGAAUCAACGUCGUUAAGGAAUUGGAGCGCAAUCUUGUUUCUCUGGAUCCCUUGAAGACAUCUGGCACUGGUGGAUGAGUUGUUUACAACGCCAUUUGAAAUCUCUCCGGAGUGAUCUUUUGGAAGUAACAACUUUUGCACUGGCGGUACACAUAUUUUUGGAUCGUGCUGAAUGUCUGAUGACGUUAUCGGAUGCCAAACUUUUGUCUCUGGUGCGUUUGAUGACGGAAGGUUCUCGAAAAGAUAUGUGGUGUCAGAAUUGCAGGUUCCAAUUGACCCGUCUUGAAACACGGACCAAGGAGUUCAUACGCAUGUGCGAGUAUGUGAGCCAAAACGCUCAUAUGCGAAAUGAAAGUGAAAGGUAGAAUAUAAGCUCUACCGACCGACUACAUUCUUCGGCGUGAAGUUCGAGUAUGAGCGCAUGUGUUGGGACCCGAAAGAUGGUGAACUAUGCGUGA
rnacentral:rRNA from 1 species